GAUGAAGAACGCAGCGAAAUGCGAUACUUGGUGUGAAUUGCAGAAUCCCGUGAACCAUCGAGUCUUUGAACGCAAGUUGCGCCUCAAGCCAUUAGGUUGAGGGCACGUCUGCCUGGGCGUCACAUAUCGUUGCCUGAUGCCAGUUUCCUCGUGAUGGGUGACUGUGCAGGGCGAAUGAUGGCUUCCCGUGAGCAUUGUUGCCUCAUGGUUGGUUGAAAAUUGAGUCCUUGGUAGGGAGCGCCGUGAUAGAUGGUGGUUGAGUGACGAACGAGACCCAAUCAUGUGAGACCCCUACCGAAUUUGGCCUUCAUGACCCACAUGCGUCUUUGGAACGCUCAUGACGAGACCUCAGGUCAGGCGGGGCUACCCGCUGAGUUUAAGCAUAUCAAUAGGCGGAGGA
rnacentral:misc_RNA from 1 species